AAACGUUUAAAUUAACGCGGUUUUGUUUUUGAAAGUCAAAUGUGACGCGGCCGUUUAAUAUUGUAAGGGUGAUUUGAUUAAUUAGAGGUUACUUGCUAGUUGCGGCACAGUUCUUACUUUUUAAGAUAUUUAGGACAACAGUUUAAUAAACAUUUCAGAUUUUUCUCAUGUUCAUAUGUAACGUUUGUUAAAAUAAUCAUUUCUCAUGUUUAUAUGUAACUUGUUUGUUAAAAUAAUCAUUAUAAUUGGUUAAGCACUUGUAUGUUUCUUUUUUAUCUAAGAUUAUUUGGUGAAUAUAUAACUGGGCGUUGGUCUUUUCCGUGUACUAAAAUAUCUAAACAUGACAAAGGAGAUGUAUACAUGUGUGGAUGAGAUGAUACUUAGUGCGGUAGUUGGUUUUGGGAGAUUGUAAAGAGAGUCAUCUUUACAAUGUCAUACAAACC
rnacentral:lncRNA from 1 species